rnacentral:lncRNA from 1 species
CCCUCAUUGUAAAUAUGCGGACGUGCUACUCAUGUUGAUUGUUCUCGACUAAUCACAAUGGUUCAGUUGCACCGAAAACAUGCAACUAUUUUAUUAGCAUUAGAUACUCCUAGACAAAGAUGGAGUUGGGCCUAAUAUCUAUCAGGUGAGGGAUCUAAUGACGGCUUUGCACCCACUGAUGAAUGGUGGGUUUGACUUAACCAAUGAGUAUGAUCAAUACCUGUCAGAUGAGCCCAUAUGACUUAGAGAUCGAAUCACUGUAACAUACUUAAAGAAGCAUUGGACAAGAGUUGUCCACUC